AUGGCGCUCAAAAAAAAUACGAAUCCGGCCCGGGGCCUGCCGCCGGCGCCCACAUUGGCCAGCCCCCGCCCGCCCCGCCCGGCGCGGCCCGCGCGCGUCCCCUCCAGGCCCCGGCGCGGCCUGGGCCUCGACCGGUGCAGGCCCGCGGGCGCCCGCGGCCAGGCCAGGCCAAGCGAGCGCAGGCCUGCCGCGGCCUACCCUGCCGGGCGCCUCCAAAAGCCCCCCUGCUUCACCUGGUCGCGGGCGGGCGGGCCCGGGGCUGCUCCGGGACGUGCGGGCGGCGGCUGCGGCGAGGCGCUAACGGCUCCGCUCGGCCUCGGUAGCGGUGGCGGCGGCGGCAGCGACGGCGACGGCGGCGGCUCCUCCUCAGCGCGCACGACCCGCUCCGGCCCGCGGCCCGGACACGCCCCCCCGGCGCGCGCGCCUAUUGGUCUGCGUCCGCCACGGCGCGCCGCUCAUUGGCAGGCUUGGCUGUCGCUGCGCUCCGGGGCGCGCGGAGGAGGCGGGACUUCCGGUAGGCGCCGCCUGCGAAGGCUCAGAGGCCGGCGGAGACGCGGGUGGCCAGCGAUGGCCGCGAAGGGGGCGAGUAGGGGCCUAGCCCAGGAGGCCGACUCGAGGUGGUGGGCGAGGAGCGGCGUUCCUUGUCGAGCACUUGCCUUGUGCCUCACACCUGUCUGCCUCGCUGCAGCUGCCGCCCAGCAAGGGGGCUCAGCUCUUGGCUGGCACAUCAGAGACACUCAGAAAACCUGCACGGAAGAGGUCUCUGCUAUGGCCUGGAAAAGCAGUAGAAGGUGGCCCAAGUCCUUGGGCCCUGCACCCGCGUGGGAGACCCAGAAGAAGCUCCUGGCUCCUGGCUUUGGAUCCGUGCAGCUCUGGCUGUUGCGGCCAAUUGUGGAGUGAACCAGCGGAUGGAAGACCUCUCUCUCUCUCUCUCUCUCUCUCUCUCUCUGCCUCUCCUUCUCUCUGUGUGUAACUCUGACUUUCAAAUAAAUAAGUAAAUCUUAAAAACAAAACACUUAGAUUCCGGUCACCUUCUUGGGAGACCUGGGUGGAGUUCUAGGUUCCUGAUUCAGCCUGGUCCAGCCCUGGCUGUUCGUAGGUAUCUGGGGAGUGAACGAGUAAAUGGAAGAUCUCUCUCUCCCCACCCCUCCUUCCAAAUACAUAAUUUUUUAAUUAAAAAACUGGGACCAACAUUGUGGUACGGCAGGUUAAGCUGCCGCCUGUAAUGUGAACCUCCCAUAUGAGCACUGGUUCAAAUCCCUGCUGCCACACUUCCAUCCAGCCCCUUGCUAACACACCUAGGGAAGCCACAGAAGAUGGCCUAAAUACUUGGGCCCCUGCCACCCAUGUGGGAGACCCAGAUGGAGUUCCAGGUUCCUGGCUAAGCCUGGCCCAGC